GCACUAUUAGCUGCGUCCCAAAAUUUUUGUCUUAAAUUUAUUUAAGUAUGGAUGUAUCUGACACUAAAACUGACUAGAUACAUCUUGUAUUAGAUAAAUCUAAGACAAGAAUUUUAAGACGGAGGGAGUAUUUU
rfam:Hordeum vulgare subsp. vulgare, WGS project CAJW01000000 data, contig: morex_contig_2466754